rnacentral:misc_RNA from 1 species
AGUCGUAACAAGGUAUCCGUAGGUGAACCUGCGGAUGGAUCAUUAACAAAGGUGAUUUUGAAGUUGUGUGAACAGUUGGAGGUGGUGGUGGUGGUGGUAUUGGGUGGUACUGGGUGGUAUUGGGUGGUAUUGGGUGGUAUUGAGUGGUGUAACCUUGGUCUAACCUUGGUCAACCUCACUCAACCUCACUCAACCUCACUCUCCCAACCUCACUCUCCCAACCUCACUCUCCCAACCUCCACCACUCCGUCCCUAUAAUGUAUACAAACUGAUGUCUGCUAGUUUCAAACUAAAACAACUUUUAGCAACGGAUCUCUUGGCUCUC